rnacentral:rRNA from 3 species
UCUGGCGGCAGUAGCGCGGUGGUCCCACCUGACCCCUUGCCGAACUCAGAAGUGAAACGCCGUAGCGCCGAUGGUAGUGUGGGGUCUCCCCAUGCGAGAGUAGGGAACUGCCAGAC